GAUGAACGCUGGCGGCGUGCUUAACACAUGCCAGUCGAACGGAACUACUCCAAUGAGAGUCUUCGGAAAGGAUUUGGUUUAGUUUAGUGGCGGACGGGUGAGUAACGCGUGGGUAACCUGCCCUAUACAGGGGGAUAACAGUUGGAAACGACUGUUAAUACCGCAUAAGCGCACAGGAGCGCAUGCUCCGGUGUGAAAAACUCCGGUGGUAUAGUAUGGACCCGCGUCUGAUUAGCUGGUUGGCGGGGUAACGGCCCACCAAGGCGACGAUAGGUAGCCGGGCAGAGAGGGUGAACGGACACAUUGGGACUAAGCCGCGGUCGAGAAUCCUACGGGAGGGAGCAGUGGGGGAUAUUGCACAAUCGGGGAAAUCCUGAUGCAGCGCCGACGCGUGAGCGAAGAAGUAUGUCGGUAAGUAAAGUUCGAUCAGCAGGGAAGAAAAUGACGGUACCUGACUAAGAAGCCCCGGCUAACUACGUG
rnacentral:rRNA from 1 species